GACGAACGCUGGCGGCGUGCUUAACACAUGCAAGUCGAACGAAGAGCGAUGGAAGCUUGCUUCUAUCAAUCUUAGUGGCGAACGGGUGAGUAACGCGUAAUCAACCUGCCCUUCAGAGGGGGACAACAGUUGGAAACGACUGCUAAUACCGCAUACGAUCUAAUCUCGGCAUCGAGGAUAGAUGAAAGGUGGCCUCUACAUGUAAGCUAUCACUGAAGGAGGGGAUUGCGGCUGAUUAGCUAGUUGGAGGGGUAACGGCCCACCAAGGCGAUGAUCAGUAGCCGGUCUGAGAGGAUGAGCGGCCACAUUGGGACGGAGACACGGCCCAGACUCCUACAGGAGGCAGCAGUGGUGAAUCUUGCGCAAUGGACGAAAGUCUGACGGAGCAACGCCGCGUGAGGGAGGACGGCCGUCGGGUUGUAAAGCUCUGUUAAUCGGGACGAAAGGCCUUCUUGCGAAUAGUGAGAAGGAUUGACGGUACCGGAAUAGAAAGCCACGGCUAACUACGUG
rnacentral:rRNA from 1 species